GAUAUCCUUUCUUCUGUUUGAUCAAUUUGGCUGUUAUAACUUGUGCAUGCUUCAUGAAGUUCUCGUGUUGUUUUUCUACUCUGUUAAUUCACUUAUAUUCCUCUCUAAAUUGUCUAUUCUCGUUAGCAUUUCAUCAAACCUUUUUUCAAAGUUCUUAGUUUCUUUGCAUUGGGUUAGAACAAGUUAUUUUAACUCCCAGAAGUUUCUUAUCAUCACCUUCUGAAGCCUACUUCUGAUAAUGGAACACACUCGUUCUCCAUCAGGUCUUGUUCCAUUGCUGAUGAGGAACUGUGAUCCCCUGUAGAGGGAGAGGCAUUCUGAUUUUGGGUAUUCUCAGCCUUUUUAGGCUGGUUUCUUCUCUUCGUUAUAAAUUUAUCUAUCUGUCAUCUUUGUAAUUACUGUCUUUCUAAUUAGGUUUCUGAGUGGACGUCCAAUUUAUUGAUUCCCAGUGCCAGAAUCUGAGCAACCCACUGCACCGGCUAAAAUAGCGGCAUUAAGAUUGGUGGUGCUUUUCUGCCCGGGAAUCUCUGGUCUGGCUUCCUUCCUGAGCCCGUCCUUCAGUCAGCUGAAUAGGCGACUCUGCCUUCCUGGAGCUCCAAAUGUCGGCCCAAAGGAGACACAGUACCGUUUACUCUGCACCAAGAACUGCCGUACCAGCCACAAGAGUAGCACUGGCGACCCCUGGGGCUCCUCCGCUUGGAAUCUCCUGGUCUCCUCAUCAAGUCUGGUCUCUGAUGUGUGUUCUCUCUGAUGGGAGACAUCUGGAGCGGCUGUCAGGCCUCCCUGGCAAUAGCGGUACCUACGGCGGCACCUGUCAGCACACCUUAACGGUGUUCCAGUGAUGGCUGCUGCAAGUGGGAAGGUGACGGGGGCAGGCAUGCUUGGGGUCAGGGAGUCUCUUUGCUGCACUGCUCCUUGACCCCUCUACAUGGAAGGGUGAGCCCCAGUUCCUGUAUAUCUUCUGGAAUCACAGACCUCCCUACGCCACCCCCAGUGGAUUAGCCUC
rnacentral:lncRNA from 13 species